UAACAUUUGGAAACAGAUGCUAAUACCGAAUAAAACUUAGUGUCGCAUGACAAAAAGUUAAAAGGCGCUUCGGCGUCACCUAGAGAUGGAUCCGCGGUGCAUUAGUUAGUUGGUGGGGUAAAGGCCUACCAAGACAAUGAUGCAUAGCCGAGUUGAGAGACUGAUCGGCCACAUUGGGACUGAGACACGGCCCAAACUCCUACGGGAGGCUGCAGUAGGGAAUCUUCCACAAUGGGCGAAAGCCUGAUGGAGCAACGCCGCGUGUGUGAUGAAGGCUUUCGGGUCGUAAAGCACUGUUGUAUGGGAAGAACAGCUAGAAUAGGAAAUGAUUUUAGUUUGACGGUACCAUACCAGAAAGGGACGGCUAAAUACGUGCCAGCAGCCGCGGUAAUACGUAUGUCCCGAGCGUUAUCCGGAUUUAUUGGGCGUAAAGCGAGCGCAGACGGUUUAUUAAGUCUGAUGUGAAAGCCCGGAGCUCAACUCCGGAAUGGCAUUGGAAACUGGUUAACUUGAGUGCAGUAGAGGUAAGUGGAACUCCAUGUGU
rnacentral:rRNA from 1 species